AGCAGACUUGUCUGUCUGUCUAAGUGUUUAAGACUCCGGAGUUGUGUCAUGCAGAGAAGGAGUUGAAUACAUUAUGGGUCGCAAGAUUCUGUUGAGUCCUAGAACCCUUGAAAAGUUCUUUAGUUUCCGUUUAAGUAUCCGUACCCAUAACCGGCACUGGUGCCCUGGCUGAGCAAGCCAAGACGUGUGAGAAUAAUCAUCCUAAGGGAAUUCGGCAAAAUGGUCCUGUAACUUCGGUUGAAGGGAUCCCAGCACUUGCAUUUUUUAAUGUGAACGCUGGGCUAAGAGACUAGAUCGGUCCGACUGUUUAACAAAAACGUAGCUGGCUGCAAGAUAGGAAUGUUUAGUAUAGCCAGUGACUUCUGCCCAGUGCUAGUAUCUGAAAGUGGUUUUCAAUCUGCCUAAGGACUAGUAAACGGCGGGGGUAACUAUGACCCUCUUAAGGUAGCGAAAUACCUUGGCCAUUAAAUGUGGUCGUGCAUGAAUGGAGCAACGAGGCUGAUACUGUCCCUAGGAUGAACCUCAUGAACUUACUAUUCUGGGGAACGGGCCAGAGACUUCUAGUGGGACGAUGAGACCCCGUAGAGCUUUACUAUAGCGUGUAGCUGCUAAUUUGUAGUGUUUGCAUAGAGUAUAUGGGAGGCAUCGAAGCAUUCUUUUCGGGGAAUGUGGAGCCAAAAGUGUAACACCAUACCUUCGCUUUGAAUUAGCUUACCUUAAUUGGAACACCUAUAUGCGGAUAGUUUGAGUGGGGCGCUACCCUCCCGAAAGAAUAUCGGGAGGACCUUAAGAUCAGCUCAGUCCGGUUGGAAACCGGAUGUUGAGGGCAAGACCAAAAGCUGGUUUAAUUGGAAUCUGCAAAGCAAAGAUUCCAGGUACGAAAGUAGAGUCUAGAGAACCUCCAUGUCUCUCUUACUGAGAGCUGGAAUUGAUAGAAAAGCUACCUCGGGGAUAAUUGAGUGGUGCCGUGUUAGAGUACAUAUCGACCACGGCGCUUGCGACUUCGUUGUCGGCUCUGCUUAUCCUGGCUGUGCAACAGCAGCCAAGGGUGCGGGAGUUCACCGAUUAAAAAGCAUCGUGAGCUGGGUUCAGAACGCUGUGAAGCAGUUUGUUUUAUAUCUACUAGAAGUGUUGAGAGUCUGAGGAGAACCUGUUCUUAGUACGAAAGGAACGGAAUGUGCGAGCCACUGGUGUAUCAGUUGUCUGACAAGGCAGGCUGAGCAGCUACGCUCGAAGUGGAUAACUUCUGAAUGCAUCUAAGAAGGAAGCCACCUGUGAAAAGAGACUCUCUGGACACUUGUAAAAGACAAGUUUGAUAGAAUUGGGAUGUAAGUACCAAGGUAACGAGGUAUUCAGUCUGCAAUUACUAAUAGUCCGUAUACUUACUAUU
rnacentral:rRNA from 1 species